GGGGAGUACGGCCGCAAGGUUAAAACUCAAAUGAAUUGACGGGGGCCCGCACAAGCGGUGGAGCAUGUGGUUUAAUUCGAUGCAACGCGAAGAACCUUACCUGGUCUUGACAUCCACGGAAGUUUUCAGAGAUGAGAAUGUGCCUUCGGGAACCGUGAGACAGGUGCUGCAUGGCUGUCGUCAGCUCGUGUUGUGAAAUGUUGGGUUAAGUCCCGCAACGAGCGCAACCCUUAUCCUUUGUUGCCAGCGGUUAGGCCGGGAACUCAAAGGAGACUGCCAGUGAUAAACUGGAGGAAGGUGGGGAUGACGUCAAGUCAUCAUGGCCCUUACGACCAGGGCUACACACGUGCUACAAUGGCGCAUACAAAGAGAAGCGACCUCGCGAGAGCAAGCGGACCUCAUAAAGUGCGUCGUAGUCCGGAUUGGAGUCUGCAACUCGACUCCAUGAAGUCGGAAUCGCUAGUAAUCGUGGAUCAGAAUGCCACGGUGAAUACGUUCCCGGGCC
rnacentral:rRNA from 1 species